GGCUUUAUGCAGUGGCAGUAUCAUAGCCCAUUAGGUUUAACUGAGGCGUGAUUAUUCCAAAUUUAAAACGUUUUUCAGUCUUCAACCAUGAUGAGUUAGAACACUGCAUGAGUAUUUUUGCCCAUUUCUCAUGAGC